UUCACUUAUGAAGCUUAGUUUGGCCAGGUACGACAUUUUGGGUUGAAAAUUCUUUUCUUUAAGAAUGUUGAAUAUUGGCCCCCACUCUUUACUGGCUGGUACGGUUUAUGCUAAGAGGUUCGCUAUUAGUCUGAUAGGCUGCCCUUUGUGGGUGACCUGGCCUUUCUCUUUGGCUGUCCUUAAUAUUUUUUCUUUCAUUUUGACCUGGGAGAAUCUGUUGAUUAUGUGUCAUGGGGUCGGUCUUCUUGUGGAGUAUCUUACUGGGUUCUUGCAUUUCCUGAUUUUGAAUGUUGGCCUGUCUUGUUAGGUUAGGAAAAUUCUCCUGGAUGAUAUUUUGAAGUAUGUUUUCCAACUUUGUUCCAUUCUCCCCGUCUUUUUUGGGUACCCCAGUCUCUCAUAUGUUCAAUCUCU